UCCAGUUUUAUUUCCCUCACUAGGAGUUUUUGUAAAUGCGUGGGCCUUGAAUUAUGCAGACUUACAUGAAUGCAUUUUUUGCAGCUGUCAAAUGACUUGUCAUUGUCCUCUCCCGGAGAGAUUAUUUCCUGUCAACAUCCUCAUCCCUGACCUCAUUCCAUCAAGGGGGCUACAGAAAGUAUUGCAAGUUUUGAUGGAACUCAGUCCUAAACAAAUCAUAUGCACAACAUUCAUUGAAGAGAGAAGAUACACAAAUGCUAUUUUUAUUCUCUCCUGAGAAGAGAAGAGAAGAGAAGAGAAGAGAAGAGAAGAGAAGAGAAGAGAAGAGAAGAGAAGAGAAGAGAAGAGGUAGCUUUCCUGUGUAGACUGUUUUCCUUUAUCAGUCUGAG